rnacentral:rRNA from 1 species
AUUGAACGCUGGCGGCACGCCUAACACAUGCAAGUCGAGCGGCAGCGAGUGUAGUAGCAAUACUACAUGUCGGCGAGCGGCGGACGGGUGAGUAACGCGUAAGAACCUGCCGUAUAGAUGGGGACAACCAAGGGAAACUUUGGCUAAUACCGAAUAUUCUCUCCGGAGGAAAGCAGGGGACCGCAAGGCCUUGCGCUCUUUGAGCGGCCGAUAUCAGAUUAGCUAGUUGGUGGGGUAAAAGCUCACCAAGGCGACGAUCUGUAGCGGGUCUGAGAGGAUGAUCCGCCACACUGGAACUGAGACACGGUCCAGACUCCUACGGGAGGCAGCAGUGGGGAAUUUUGGACAAUGGGGGCAACCCUGAUCCAGCCAUGCCGCGUGAGUGAAGAAGGCCUUCGGGUUGUAAAGCUCUUUCGGCCGGGAAAAAAUCGCAUGGGUUAAUACCCUGUGUGGAUGAUGGUACCGGAAUAAGAAGCACCGGCUAACUACGUGCCAGCCGCCGCGGUAAAAC